UACGUAGGGUGCAAGCGUUGUCCGGAAUUAUUGGGCGUAAAGAGCUCGUAGGCGGUCUGUCACGUCGGCUGUGAAAUCCCGAGGCUCAACCUCGGGUCUGCAGUCGAUACGGGCAAACUAGAGUAUUGCAGGGGAGACUGGAAUUCCUGGUGUAGCGGUGAAAUGCGCAGAUAUCAGGAGGAACACCGGUGGCGAAGGCGGCUUUCUGGGACGGUACUGACGCUGAGGAGCGAAAGCGUGGGGAGCGAACAGG
rnacentral:rRNA from 1 species